rnacentral:tRNA from 1 species
GCCUGGGUGGCUCAGUGGGUUAAGCGUCUGACUUCAGCUCAGGUCACAAUCUCGUGGUCCGUGAGUUCGAGCCCCUCAUCGGGCU